rnacentral:rRNA from 1 species
UUUACGGAUACUGCGGUAAUUCUGGAGCCAUACGUGCUAAAAGCCGCAUUCAGCAAUGAGUGUGGUGCACUUAUCGGAGCAAAACCUUUCCUGGUUUUAUGCUAACUCUGGAUAACACUGCUUAUCGCAAGACCUUGUGUCGGCGAAAUUACAUUCAAGUAUCUGCCUUAUCAACUUUCGAUGGUAGUGUAUUGGACUGCCAUGGUGUUGACGGGUAACGGAGAAUCAGGGUUCGACUCCGGAGAGGGAGCCUUAGAAACGGCUACCAUGUCUAAGGACAGCAGCAGGCGCGCAACUUAUCCACUGUUCAUUGAACGAGAUAGUGACGAGAAAUAACAAGCCCGUUCUCUUUGAGGUCGGGCAUUGGAAUGGAUGGAAUCUAAACAGUUCCAUGAGUACCAACGAGAGGGCAAGUCUGGUGCCAGCAGCCGCGGUAAUUCCAGCUCUCGUAAUGUAUAGAAUUAUUGUUGCGGUUAAAAAGUUCGUAGUUGGAUUUUUGACUGCUUGGAGGUCGGCUUUAACGAGACGUACUUUCAGCAGUGUUUGCAGUCUGCUUGUAGGCAACUAUAAGUUGACUGUGGAUUACUUUGAACGGCUUAAGUGCUCAAGGCGAGUCUUCGGACUGAAUACCGGUGCAUGGAAUAAUGGAACAAGGUUUCGGCCGAGUUUUAUUGGUUUUGUCGGCUAAAACAAUGGUUAACAGGAACAGCUGGGGGCACUCGUAUCGCUGCGCGAGAGGUGAAAUUCG